GGGUCCGGCAUAACCCCGGGAAACUGGGGAUAAUUCCGGAUAACGCAUAUAUGCUGGAAUGCUUUAUGCGUAAAAUGGAUUCGUCUGCCCAAGGAUGGGUCUGCGGCCUAUCAGGUAGUAGUGGGUGUAAUGUACUACUAGCCGACGACGGGUACGGGUUGUGAGAGCAAGAGCCCGGAGAUGGAUUCUGAGACAUGAAUCCAGGCCUACGGGGCGCAGCAGGCGCGAAAACUUUACAAUGCGGGAAACCGUGAUAAGGGGACACCGAGUGCCCAGCAUCAUAUGCUGGCUGUCCGGGUGUGUAAAAUACACCUGUUAGCAAGGGCCGGGCAAGACCGGUGCCAGCCGCCGCGGUAACACCGGCGGCCCGAGUGGUGAUCGUGAUUAUUGGGUCUAAAGGGUCCGUAGCCGGUUUGGUCAGUCCUCCGGGAAAUCUGACGGCUCAACCAUUAGGCUUUCGGGGGAUACUGCCAGGCUUGGAACCGGGAGAGGUAAGAGGUACUACAGGGGUAGGUGUGAAAUCUUGUAAUCCCUGUGGGACCACCUGUGGCGAAGGCGUCUUACCAGAACGGGUUCGACGGUGAGGGACGAAAGCUGGGGGCACGAACCGGAUUAGAUACCCGGGUAGUCCCAGCCGUAAACGAUGCUCGCUAGGUGUCAGGCAUGGCGCGACCGUGUCUGGUGCCGCAGGGAAGCCGUGAAGCGAGCCACCUGGGAAGUACGGCCGCAAGGCUGAAACUUAAAGGAAUUGGCGGGGGAGCAC
rnacentral:rRNA from 1 species